CAAACCUUCAAGCCUAGCUUGGUGUUGGGUGACUGUCCCGCCUCUCCGCGCGGACUCGCCUCAAAGUCAUUGGCAGCAGACUCGGUAGCUAAUUGCGCAGCACAUCGCGCCAGAGGCUCCGGGCCCGCUCUCCACGAGCACAGUCUCAUCA
rnacentral:misc_RNA from 1 species